GACGAACGCUGGCGGCGUGCCUAAUACAUGCAAGUCGAACGCUUCUUUCCUCCCGAGUGCUUGCACUCAAUUGGAAAGAGGAGUGGCGUACGGGUGAGUAACACUUGGGUAACCUACCCAUCAGCGGGGGAUAACACUUGGAAACAGGUGCUAAUACCGCAUAACAGUUUAUGCCGCAUGGCAUAAGAGUGAAAGGCGCUCUCGGGUGUCGCUGAUGGAUGGACCCGCGGUGCAUUAGCUAGUUGGUGAGGUAACGGCUCACCAAGGCAACGAUGCGUAGCCGACCUGAGAGGGUGAUCGGCCACACUGGGACUGAGACACGGCCCAGACUCCUACGGGAGGCAGCAGUAGGGAAUCUUCCGCAAUGGGCGAAAGUCUGACCGAGCAACGCCGCGUGAGUGAAGAAGGUUUUCGGAUCGUAAAACUCUGUUGUUAGGGAAGAACAAGUACGUAAGUAACUGAACACCCCCUGACGGUACCUAAUCAGAAAGCCACGGCUAACUACGUG
rnacentral:rRNA from 1 species